rnacentral:rRNA from 1 species
ACAGCAGCCGCCGCGGUAAUACGAAGGGUGCAAGCGUUAAUCGGAAUUACUGGGCGUAAAGCGUGCGUAGGCGGUUUGUUAAGUCUGCUGUGAAAUCCCCGGGCUCAACCUGGGAAUGGCAGUGGAUACUGGCAAGCUAGAGUGUGUCAGAGGAUGGUGGAAUUCCCGGUGUAGCGGUGAAAUGCGUAGAGAUCGGGAGGAACAUCAGUGGCGAAGGCGGCCAUCUGGGACAACACUGACGCUGAGGCACGAAAGCGUGGGGAGCAAACAGGAUUAGAUACCCCUGUAGUCCCUGUCUCUUAUAC